GGAGUUUUCAAACCAUCUAUUCCAUUAACUAUAUGGGAGUGAACACUCCAGGCCCCUGCUGGACCAAAACUUUGAAAAGUUUAGAGCCCCCCCCCCGUCAGUAUAUCGAGCCCCCCGUUUAAUGCCAGAUUGCCAGAGAAUAUUUCGAUGCCCCCCUUAACAUCCUCACCCUCCCCCCCCACCCUUCAGCAUAAUAAAUGUACUCCCUUAUUUAUUUAUUUAUUUAUUUAUACACUAAUACUCUU